rnacentral:rRNA from 1 species
GAUGAACGCUGGCGGCGUGCCUAAUACAUGCAAGUCGAGCGAACAGACGAGGAGCUUGCUCCUCUGACGUUAGCGGCGGACGGGUGAGUAACACGUGGAUAACCUACCUAUAAGACUGGGAUAACUUCGGGAAACCGGAGCUAAUACCGGAUAAUAUAUUGAACCGCAUGGUUCAAUAGUGAAAGACGGUUUUGCUGUCACUUAUAGAUGAAUCCGCGCCGCAUUAGCUAGUUGGUAAGGUAACGGCUUACCAAGGCAACGAUGCGUAGCCGACCUGAGAGGGUGAUCGGCCACACGGGAGCGGAGACACGGUCCAGACUCCUACGAGAGGCAGCAGUAGGGAAUCUGCCGCAAUGGGCGAAAGCUUGACGGAGCAACGCCGCGUGAGUGAUGAAGGUCUUCGGAUCGUAAAACUCUGUUAUUAGGGAAGAACAAAUGUGUAAGUAACUAUGCACGUCGUGACGGUACCUAAUCAGAAAGCCACGGCUAACUACGUG